AUGAAGGAGUUCAUCGCCGAGGUCGCAAGUAUUGGCCGCCUUCGACACCGCUACCUAGUGCAGUUGCUUGGAUAUUGCCGGCGUGAACAUGAGCUCAUUCUGGUGUACGAGUACAUGCCGAAUGGUAGUCUUGAUAAGUACCUGCAUUGUGGAGAGGACAAGCCGACGCUUGACUGGACCCAGAGGUUUGGCAUCAUCAAUGGGAUAGCAUGUGGCUUGUGGUAUCUACACGAGAAAUGGGAAAAAGUUGUCAUUCAUAGAGACAUAAAAGCAAGCAAUGUGCUCCUUGAUGGUGAAAUGAAUGGACGGCUCGGUGAUUUUGGCCUUGCAAGGUUAUAUGAUCAUGGUACCGAUCUACAAACCACACAUGUGGUUGGCACCAUGGGUUACUAG
rnacentral:rRNA from 1 species